GACGUAGGGGCGAGCGUUGUCCGGAUUUAUUGGGCGUAAAGAGCUCGUAGGCGGCUCAGAAAGUCGGGUGUGAAACCUCCAGGCUCAACCUGGAGACGCCACCUGAUACUGCUGUGGCUAGAGUCCGGUAGGGGAACACGGAAAUACCGGUGUAGCGGUGAAAUGCUUAGAUAUCGGUGAACACCAGUGGCGAAGGCGGUGUUCUGGGCCGAACUGACGCUGAGGAGCGAAAGCGUGGGUAGCAAACAGG
rnacentral:rRNA from 1 species